AUGCAGUCCGUGAAGAUGUACCAUGCUCGGUGGACCGCCCGGUACUAGCAUCGCCUCUGGGAGCUCGCUCUGUCUCAAGAUCAGCAGGAGAAGCAUCAUCUGACUCCUCAUCAGAACCAUCAUGUGCCUGUGCUGCUGCGUGUGCUGCUCUGCGGGCUGCAAAAUCUCUCCUAGAAUUAUAAAAAACAUUGCCUCUCCUAGUCAGACCCAUAUGGUGGAGGGUAGCCUCAGUGUAGGGGGUAUACUCAC
rnacentral:lncRNA from 1 species